rnacentral:rRNA from 1 species
ACGGGAGGCAGCAGUGGGGAAUAUUGCACAAUGGGGGAAACCCUGAUGCAGCGACGCCGCGUGGGUGAUGAAGUAUUUCGGUACGUAAAGCCCUAUCAGCAGGGAAGAUAAUGACGGUACCUGACUAAGAAGCUCCGGCUAAAUACGUGCCAGCAGCCGCGGUAAUACGUAUGGAGCGAGCGUUAUCCGGAUUUACUGGGUGUAAAGGGAGCGCAGGCGGUUUUACAAGUCUGGUGUGAAAGCCCGGGGCUCAACCCCGGGACUGCACCGGAAACUGUAGAACUAGAGUAUCGGAGGGGCAAGCGGAAUUCCUAGUGUAGCGGUGAAAUGCGUAGAUAUUAGGAGGAACACCGGUGGCGAAGGCGGCUUGCUGGACGAAAACUGACGCUGAGGCUCGAAAGCGUGGGGAGCAAACAGGAUUAGAUACCCUGGUA